AGUGAACGCUGGCGGCGUGCUUAACACAUGCAAGUCGAACGAGAACGGAUUAUAGCUUGCUAUAAUUGUCAGCUAAGUGGCGCACGGGUGAGUAAUGUAUAGAUAACCUGCCCUCUAGAAAGGAAUAACAGUUGGAAACGACUGCUAAUGCCCUAUAUGCCUUUAAUACAUAAGUAUGCAAGGGAAACGCUUUAGUGCUAGAGGAUGGGUCCGUAUGGUAUCAGCUAGUUGGUGAGGUAAUGGCUCACCAAGGCUAUGACGCCUAACUGGUUUGAGAGGAUGAUCAGUCACACUGGAACUGAGACACGGUCCAGACUCCUACGGGAGGCAGCAGUGGGGAAUAUUGCACAAUGGACGAAAGUCUGAUGCAGCAACGCCGCGUGGAGGAUGACACAUUUCGGUGCGUAAACUCCUUUUAUAUAGGAAGAUAAUGACGGUACUAUAUGAAUAAGCACCGGCUAACUCCGUGCCAACCGCCGCAGUAA
rnacentral:rRNA from 1 species